GGGUUGUGAGGUUAAGCGACUAAGCGUACACGGUGGAUGCCCUGGCAGUCAGAGGCGAUGAAGGACGUGCUAAUCUGCGAAAAGCGUCGGUAAGGUGAUAUGAACCGUUACAGCCGGCGAUGUCCGAAUGGGGAAACCCAGUGCAAUUCGUUGCACUAUCGUUAACUGAAUACAUAGGUUAACGAGGCGAACCGGGGGAACUGAAACAUCUAAGUACCCCGAGGAAAAGAAAUCAACCGAGAUUCCCCCAGUAGCGGCGAGCGAACGGGGAGCAGCCCAGAGUCUGAAUCAGCUGUGUGUUAGUGGAACGGUCUGGAAAGUCCGACGGUACAGGGUGAUAGUCCCGUACACCAAAAUGCACAGGCUGUGAACUCGAAGAGUAGGGCGGGACACGUGGUAUCCUGUCUGAAUAUGGGGGGACCAUCCUCCAAGGCUAAAUACUCCUGACUGACCGAUAGUGAACCAGUACCGUGAGGGAAAGGCGAAAAGAACCCCGGCGAGGGGAGUGAAAAAGAACCUGAAACCGUGUACGUACAAGCAGUGGGAGCACCUUCGGGUGUGACUGCGUACCUUUUGUAUAAUGGGUCAGCGACUUAUAUUCUGUAGCAAGGUUAACCGUAUAGGGGAGCCGCAGGGAAACCGAGUCUUAACUGGGCGUUAAGUUGCAGGGUAUAGACCCGAAACCCGGUGAUCUAGCCAUGGGCAGGUUGAAGGUUGGGUAACACUAACUGGAGGACCGAACCGACUAAUGUUGAAAAAUUAGCGGAUGACUUGUGGCUGGGGGUGAAAGGCCAAUCAAACCGGGAGAUAGCUGGUUCUCCCCGAAAGCUAUUUAGGUAGCGCCUCGUGAAUUCAUCUUCGGGGGUAGAGCACUGUUUCGGCUAGGGGGUCAUCCCGACUUACCAACCCGAUGCAAACUACGAAUACCGAAGAAUGUUAUCACGGGAGACACACGGCGGGUGCUAACGUCCGUCGUGAAGAGGGAAACAACCCAGACCGCCAGCUAAGGUCCCAAAGUCAUGGUUAAGUGGGAAACGAUGUGGGAAGGCACAGACAGCCAGGAUGUUGGCUUAGAAGCAGCCAUCAUUUAAAGAAAGCGUAAUAGCUCACUGGUCGAGUCGGCCUGCGCGGAAGAUGUAACGGGGCUAAACCAUGCACCGAAGCUGCGGCAGCGACACUAUGUGUUGUUGGGUAGGGGAGCGUUCUGUAAGCCUGCGAAGGUGUGCUGUGAGGCAUGCUGGAGGUAUCAGAAGUGCGAAUGCUGACAUAAGUAACGAUAAAGCGGGUGAAAAGCCCGCUCGCCGGAAGACCAAGGGUUCCUGUCCAACGUUAAUCGGGGCAGGGUGAGUCGACCCCUAAGGCGAGGCCGAAAGGCGUAGUCGAUGGGAAACAGGUUAAUAUUCCUGUACUUGGUGUUACUGCGAAGGGGGGACGGAGAAGGCUAUGUUAGCCGGGCGACGGUUGUCCCGGUUUAAGCAUGUAGGCUGGUUAUCCAGGCAAAUCCGGAUAAUCAAGGCUGAGGUGUGAUGACGAGGCACUACGGUGCUGAAGUAACAAAUGCCCUGCUUCCAGGAAAAGCCUCUAAGCAUCAGGUAACAUCAAAUCGUACCCCAAACCGACACAGGUGGUCAGGUAGAGAAUACCAAGGCGCUUGAGAGAACUCGGGUGAAGGAACUAGGCAAAAUGGUGCCGUAACUUCGGGAGAAGGCACGCUGGUGUGUAGGUGAAGUCCCUGCGGAUGGAGCUGAGACCAGUCGAAGAUACCAGCUGGCUGCAACUGUUUAUUAAAAACACAGCACUGUGCAAACACGAAAGUGGACGUAUACGGUGUGACGCCUGCCCGGUGCCGGAAGGUUAAUUGAUGGGGUUAUCCGUAAGGAGAAGCUCUUGAUCGAAGCCCCGGUAAACGGCGGCCGUAACUAUAACGGUCCUAAGGUAGCGAAAUUCCUUGUCGGGUAAGUUCCGACCUGCACGAAUGGCGUAAUGAUGGCCAGGCUGUCUCCACCCGAGACUCAGUGAAAUUGAACUCGCUGUGAAGAUGCAGUGUACCCGCGGCAAGACGGAAAGACCCCGUGAACCUUUACUAUAGCUUGACACUGAACAUUGAGCCUUGAUGUGUAGGAUAGGUGGGAGGCUUUGAAGCGUGGACGCCAGUCUGCGUGGAGCCAACCUUGAAAUACCACCCUUUAAUGUUUGAUGUUCUAACGUUGGCCCCUUACCGGGGUUGCGGACAGUGUCUGGUGGGUAGUUUGACUGGGGCGGUCUCCUCCCAAAGCGUAACGGAGGAGCACGAAGGUUAGCUAAUCCUGGUCGGACAUCAGGAGGUUAGUGCAAUGGCAUAAGCUAGCUUGACUGCGAGCGUGACGGCGCGAGCAGGUGCGAAAGCAGGUCAUAGUGAUCCGGUGGUUCUGAAUGGAAGGGCCAUCGCUCAACGGAUAAAAGGUACUCCGGGGAUAACAGGCUGAUACCGCCCAAGAGUUCAUAUCGACGGCGGUGUUUGGCACCUCGAUGUCGGCUCAUCACAUCCUGGGGCUGAAGUAGGUCCCAAGGGUAUGGCUGUUCGCCAUUUAAAGUGGUACGCGAGCUGGGUUUAGAACGUCGUGAGACAGUUCGGUCCCUAUCUGCCGUGGGCGCUGGAGAAUUGAGGGGGGCUGCUCCUAGUACGAGAGGACCGGAGUGGACGCAUCACUGGUGUUCGGGUUGUCAUGCCAAUGGCACUGCCCGGUAGCUAAAUGCGGAAGAGAUAAGUGCUGAAAGCAUCUAAGCACGAAACUUGCCCCGAGAUGAGUUCUCCCUGAGACUUUAAGUCUCCUGAAGGAACGUUAAAGACGAUGACGUUGAUAGGCCGGGUGUGUAAGCGCAGCGAUGCGUUGAGCUAACCGGUACUAAUGAACCGUGAGGCUUAACCUUACAACGCCGAAG
rnacentral:rRNA from 1 species